GUUUGAUCAUGGCUCAGGAUGAACGCUAGCGGCAGGCCUAAUACAUGCAAGUCGAGGGGCAGCGGGAGUAGCAAUACUUGCCGGCGACCGGCGCACGGGUGCGUAACACGUAUGCAAUCUGCCCAUAUCAGGGGGAUAGCCCGGAGAAAUCCGGAUUAAUACCCCAUAACACAAGAAAUGGCAUCAUUUUUUGUUGAAAGCUACGGCGGAUAUGGAUGANUAUGCGUCUGAUUANUUAGUUGGUGAGGUAACGGCUCACCAAGACCACGAUCAGUAGGGGAUCUGAGAGGAUUAACCCCCACACGGAUACUGAGACACGGAUCCGACUCCUACGGGAGGCAGCAGUAAGGAAUAUUGGACAAUGCCCGCAAGGGUGAUCCAGCCAUGCCGCGUGCAGGAAGAAGCCCUAUGGGUC
rnacentral:rRNA from 1 species